CCUUGUCAUUAGUUGCUACAUUUAGUUGGGCACUCUAAUGAGACUGCCGGUGACAAACCGGAGGAAGGUGGGGAUGACGUCAAGUCCUCAUGGCCCUUAUAGGUGGGGCUACACACGUCAUACAAUGGCUGGUACAGAGGGUUGCCAACCCGCGAGGGGGAGCCAAUCCCAUAAAGCCAGUCGUAGUCCGGAUCGCAGUCUGCAACUCGACUGCGUGAAGUCGGAAUCGCUAGUAAUCGCGGAUCAGAAUGUCGCGGUGAAUACGUUCCCGGGUCUUGUACACACCGCCCGUCACACCAUGGGAGCGGGUUCUGCCAGAAGUAGGUAGCCUAACCGUAAGGAGGGCGCUUACCACGGCAGGGUUCGUGACUGGGGUGAAGUC
rnacentral:rRNA from 1 species